AGUGAACGCUGGCGAUAGGCCUAACACAUGCAAGUCGAACGGCAGCACAGUAAGAGCUUGCUCUUACGGGUGGCGAGUGGCGGGCGGGUGAGGAAUACAUCGGACUCUACUUUUUCGUGGGGGAUAACGUAGGGAAACUUACGCUAAUACCGCAUACGACCUACGGGUGAAAGCAGGGGAUCUUCGGACCUUGGGCGAUUGAAUGAGCCGAUGUCGGAUUAGUUAGUUGGCGGGGUAAAGGCCCACCAAGGCGACGAUACGUAGCUGGUCUGGGGGGAUGGUCAGCCACACUGGAACUGAGACACGGUCCAGACUCCUACGGGAGGCAGCAGUGGGGAAUAUUGGACAAUGGGCGCAAGCCUGAUCCAGCCAUACCGCGUGGGUGAAGAAGGCCUUCCGGUUGUAAAGCCCUUUUGUUGGGAAAGAAAAGCAGCAGGUUAAUACCCCGCUGUUCUGACGGUACCCAAAGAAUAAGCACCGGCUAACUUCGUG
rnacentral:rRNA from 1 species